ensembl:lncRNA
GGACACCGCGUUACUUUGCUUCUGCACUGUCCUCUGUCUGUGAUCACGUGUGUUUGUGAUUACUGGUUACUGUGUAAAGAUUCAAAUUUGACUGUUGGACUGAGAGUAAGUCUAGAUGAAAACUGACAGAUGAAUGCACCAUCAGACACUGUCUCAUGAACGACUUCAUCUAGAUACUUAUUGCCGUGAAGGUUGGCUGCGACUCUGUAAUCCCUCCCCAAGAAGAGCAACAGCUGAUCCUCAUCACGACCCUGUGUUUGGUGUGUGGAUUCUUGCAUUAGUGACAUGACAUUUAUUUGCUUGGUGAGCCUUUUACCUGCAAGGUUAACAAGUUUGACUCACAUCUUGGAAACAUUCCAACUUGAAACACUGGGAGUGGUGCUUCUCUGACUCCCUGCGCACCCAGAGAGGAGGUCCCAGUUCUGUGGAGAUCUGGACUCAGGAGGUCUGGGCUGGGGUCCUUUCUCACAAACGAGCUGGUCACACUGAUGCUGCUCAGCUGUGGGUCACGUUUGCAGGAGCAAAGAAUUGUCCACAGGAACUCGAAGAUGAGGAUAUGCUUGCUCAUUCAUUUAUGUUCCGAUUCAACAAUAAUAAAGAAGUGCCUAAAACAUCCUCAGCACUGCAGUGAUGACUGUGGGAAGGCUGACACCCUUAAGUGUGCAGGGAGGCCAAGAGGACACAGUUGCAAGCAAUUGUUUGAACAUAAUACACAAAAACGUGUGUGCUUUGAGUGUAUCUUUUCUUAAAUCAAAUGAGAGCCACCUAGGCUUAAAUUUGGUGUCACGUCUGAAAAUGCAGUUUCUAAUAAAAAAUGUAUGUCUAUCAAGUAAUGAAACUUAUUUUUCUUGAAUAUCUUUUAACUGAAUCAGCAUGAACUUAGAGCUAUGUUAGGAAUGGCAUUUAUGGAAUAUGUUCAUAGUGCCCCAAAAUAUCUUCUUUAAAGAAAUCUAUCCAUGAGUAGCAGUAUAAUUAUGGUUGAAUUAACUCCAUUACUUCUUACUUAGAUGUAUUUACCUAACAACCUAUGGAUUUGGAUGUAUGCAUGUCUGCAUACACACAUAUGUCUUAUAACAAAUUUAAUAAUACUUAACUGUUCAUCGAGUAUAGUGCUG